AUUGAACGCUGGCGGCAUGCUUUACACAUGCAAGUCGAACGGUAACAGGGUGCUUGCACCGCUGACGAGUGGCGAACGGGUGAGUAAUGCAUCGGAAUGUACCGUGUAAUGGGGGAUAGCUCGGCGAAAGCCGGAUUAAUACCGCAUACGCCCUGAGGGGGAAAGUGGGGGGCCGAAAGGCCUCACGUUAUACGAGCAGCCGAUGUCUGAUUAGCUAGUUGGUGAGGUAAAGGCUCACCAAGGCGUCGAUCAGUAGCGGGUCUGAGAGGAUGAUCCGCCACACUGGGACUGAGACACGGCCCAGGCUCCUACGGGAGGCAGCAGUGGGGAAUUUUGGACAAUGGGCGCAAGCCUGAUCCAGCCAUGCCGCGUGUCUGAAGAAGGCCUUCGGGUUGUAAAGGACUUUUGUCCGGGAGCAAAUCCUAGUGGUUAAUACCUACUGGGGCUGAGAGUACCGGAAGAAUAAGCACCGGCUAACUACGUG
rnacentral:rRNA from 1 species